rnacentral:rRNA from 1 species
GCGGAAGGAUCAUUAACGAAUUGUAAAGGAGAGUUGAUGCUGGUAGCUUUCGGGCUGCAUGUGCUCGCUCUCUGACAUUUCAUUAUCCAUGCACCUGUGAACCUUUGAGGGAAUCGAGUCUUAACGGAUUUGAGGCCCUCUUUAAUUAACACAUACCCCUUUAUAAAAUAUUGAACGUGAUAGUGCCGAAAGGCCAUAAUCAAAUAUACAACUUUUAACAACGGAUCUCUUGGCUCUCGCAUCGAUGAAGAACGCAGCGAAAUGCGAUAAGUAAUGUGAAUUGCAGAAUUCAGUGAAUCAUCGAAUCUUUGAACGCACCUUGCGCUCCUUGGUAUUCCGAGGAGCACGCCUGUUCGAGUGUCUUGAAAUUCUCAAGCUGGAUAGCUUUAUUGUUAUCUCAGUUUGGAUUGGGCUCUGCCGUCUCCUCUUUUGUGAACGGCUGGCCUUAAAAGUAUUAGCUGACCCUUGUUGUGGGAUUGGUUCUACUCAGUGUGAUAAUUUAUGAUCGCUGAGGACAUCUUUCGGGAUGGCCAGUUUUGCCUAGGAUCGCUUCUACUCCUGGUAUUCGGAGUCCGCUCCUUAUCCUUAACUUUUUUCAACUUUGACCUCGAAUCAGGUGGGACUACCCGCUGAACUUAAGCAUAUCAAUAAGCGGAGGA